rnacentral:misc_RNA from 1 species
GAUGAAGAACGUAGCGAAAUGCGAUACGUAGUGUGAAUUGCAGAAUUCCGUGAACCAUCAAAUCUUUGAACGCAUAUUGCGCUCGAGGCUUCGGCCGAGAGCAUGUCUGCCUCAGCGUCGGUAUUACCCCUCGCUUCUCAACCCCUGGUUGAUGCCUGCCUGCCUUUGCAGUUGGCUAGAGCGGAUCUGGCUUUCCCAAUUGCCUUUGGUAGUUGGGUCAGCUGAAGCACAGAGGCUUGAGCAAGGACCCUUAUUGGGCUUCAACUGGAUAGGUAGAACUGGUCUUAGGACCAACUACACGAAGUUGUUGCUUGUGGUCUUUGUCUGGAGGCCAGCAGGAAACCUUUAUACCUUCGACCUGAGCUCAGGCAAGAUUACCCGCUGAACUUAAGCAUAUCAAUAAGCGGAGGA